GACGAACGCUGGCGGCGCGCCUAACACAUGCAAGUCGAACGAGCAAAGAGGAGCUUGCUUCUCUGAGCGAGUGGCGAACGGGUGAGUAACGCGUGAGGAACCUGCCUCAAAGAGGGGGACAACAGUUGGAAACGACUGCUAAUACCGCAUAAGCCCACGGGUCGGCAUCGACCAGAGGGAAAAGGAGCAAUCCGCUUUGAGAUGGCCUCGCGUCCGAUUAGCUAGUUGGUGAGGUAAUGGCCCACCAAGGCGACGAUCGGUAGCCGGACUGAGAGGUUGAACGGCCACAUUGGGACUGAGACACGGCCCAGACUCCUACGGGAGGCAGCAGUGGGGAAUAUUGCACAAUGGGGGAAACCCUGAUGCAGCGACGCCGCGUGAGUGAUGAAGUAUUUCGGUAUGUAAAACUCUAUCAGCAGGGAAGAUAAUGACGGUACCUGACUAAGAAGCACCGGCUAAAUACGUG
rnacentral:rRNA from 1 species